rnacentral:lncRNA from 1 species
CGUCUUUCUAUCCGAACUUAUCACUUUAAUCCCAAAAGUGUGGCGUUCGAUUCGUACUGAGGUUCCUAUCAUCAUUGAUAGCGGGUCGAAGUUUCUAUCCACUUAACAAACCUUCCAUCAACACCCUACCAACCUAAGCAUUCUCCUAAGUUACGGGUUAACACACUCCUAUUGUGUUAGUUCGGCUUUGAAUACUUAGCCCAAACUUC